rnacentral:rRNA from 1 species
AACUAACGCUGGCGGCGCGCCUAAUACAUGCAAGUCGAACGAUGUAGCAAUACAUAGUGGCGCACGGGAGAGUAACACGUGGAUAAUCUCCCCUCGAGAGAGGAAUAACUAGUCGAAAGAUUGGCUAAUACUUCAUAAGACCACAGAAACUAAUGUUUCAGGGGGUAAAAGUCGUAAGACGCUUGAGGAUGAGUCUGCGUCCCAUUAGCUAGUUGGUGAGGUAACGGCUCACCAAGGCGACGAUGGGUAGCUGGUCUGAGAGGAUGAUCAGCUCACUGAACUGACACACGGUCCAGACUCCUACGGGAGGCAGCAGGUAGGGAAUAUUGCACAAUGGGACGAAAGCCUGAUGCAGCGACGACCGCGUGAGGUGAGUGAAGGACUUCGGUUUAGUAAA